GGGCCGAGAAGCUGAGAGGGGACAGCGCUGGGGCCCCCAUCCUCCCGCUGCACGCCCAGCGCCCCGGGCUCCACCCCACCCCGAGGACGGGAGGCAGCUCCUCACCUGCAGGCCAGGGGACCCCAAGAGGACCAUGACCUCAUCGAUGAGACCCAGCAGGGACACAAACACGGGGUCCCGGUAGUCAAACCGGCGGCCGAAGAGGAGCGCGAAGGUGAUGUUGGAGGGAGCCCAGCCCAGUAGGGCCAGCGGGAAGGGCCGGCCUGUAAGGGAGACGGGCCUCAGGCACAUCCAGGCCCGGGGAGGGGCGUCCCCGGCCCCCUGCUCACCUCUGUAGCUGUCCAGUUGCCCCAAGAGGCAUUUCAGCUCCUGCAGAAUCUUGUCAGCCACCGGCUCCCGGCCCACGCCCAGGCUGUGCAAGGCACGCACUGUGAACUGGCGGGCAGCCCUCCAGCGCGCCCCGGAUGAGAAGAAGAUGCCUGUGGGCAGACACAGUGCCCGGUGAGCCCAGGUUCCCACCCCAGCCAGCCCCACCGGGCGAGUGGGCAGAAAGUGAGCAGGCUGACCUCGGGGCAGCGAGACUGGCUGGGCCCUCACCCCCAUCCCCACUCCCGUCCCCCUGGGCUGGCCCCGGCCCCUCUUGACUUGGGAUGAAAAGACCCCGGCUUGCUGGUCCUGAGCACCUGACCUGCUGUGUGGACACCUGGCCCUCCUCAGCACCAGCCCAGAGGCCCAGGUCCUGCCUGCUCUGCCCCUGGGAGCCUCUCCCGCUGCUGGAGCCCCCACCCCUCCUGGGAUCCAGGUGCCCCCACACCCAGCAGGCCCCUGCAGCGCCGGCCACACACUGACCUCCACCUCGCUGGAUGAGCUGGAAGAUGGCGAUGGGAGGCCGGUCGGCCAGCUCCUGCCCGGGGCCCACCAGCGCCUCUUUGACCGCCUUGAACCCUGUCAGCACCACCGUCUUCUGGCGCCCCAGGUGCACGGUGAACACUGGCCCAUAGCGUUCUGAGAGCUGGCAGGGAUGGCGGGGGUCACCCGGGCAGCCCUCACCCACAAGGCCCCCCCUUAGGUCCCCCCAGGCCGGGCCUGUGCUGGGUAGGGGUGGGACAGAGGGAAGAUGGGGGCAGGUGGAGGGGGGACGCCUAGAUGCCAUAAAGCCGGUGGUGCAGGGUGGAGGGGGCAGCGUCCAGCCUGGAGCCCACAGAGCCCCCUCGCCAUCUGGUGCUUGGCAUGGCUGUUGUGGGAUUUUCUUUUUAGCCAAAAUUCCUGGGGGGCUCAAGCCCUGAGUCCAGGCGGCAAGGUUGGGGGUUGGCUGGCUGCUGGGGUGGCACAUUCUGAAAGGCCAGAGUCUACACAGAGUGAGGGCCUGACAGGCUCGGCCCCCAGAGACCCUGAUCCGUCCUCGGCUGCAGCCCAGCCAGCAGCACCCCAGCCCGCAGUUGGGGGCAGCCAGAGACAGGACCCGGGCCCGACUGUUCAGUCCUGUCCCACUGACCCUGCCUGCCUGAGCGAGGACAGAGCGACAGUGCCGGUCAGGCUGCCCCGUGCCGUGUACCCGCACCCUCUGUCCUCAGCAUCCCUGCCCAGGAGGCACGGGUCCUCUUCCCAUCUCACAGAUGAGGAAACAGAGGCUCAAAAGUGGGAAGUGUUUGCUGUUGAACACCUGAGGGCCGAGGGAGGCUGAGCAGGCAGCCGACAGGCCCAGGCCCUCCUCCCCUGUGCUGUCCCUAAGCCCGGCCUCCUGUGGGCUCUCAGCAGAUGCUACCUCCUCCAGGGAGCCCUCCAGACUCCUGCUCCCGGGCUGGACCCUGGGUGGCACCUCCAGGGCCUCUUCGUACUCAGUGUGUCUGCUUCCCUGUGGGACGGGGCGGCUUUCCCUUCCCCAAAGCAGGGUGGGCCCUCCGGCUUCCUGCUGGGCCCGGCACCAUGUGGGAAUAGGCAGUGGAAACGGCUGGGCUUCCCCAGGAGAGGGGCCAGGACAUGGCAGCUGUCCAGGCGGCAAGAGCUGCCCGGGCUCCCUGACCUACCUCCAUCAGGGACCGGUCCUGUUGCGACAGACGCAGCAAGUGCAGGUUCCCGAUGAGCGGCAGCGGGCGAGGCCCCGGGGGCCACCGGGCGGCUGGGGAGGGGUCUCGGGCGCAGGCGCGGAGCAGCCCCCAGAGCCCCAGGAGGCCCAGGAGCAGCAAGAGCAGCAGGGCCAUGAGGACGUGGCUGUGGACCUCCAGCGCCCUGCAGAGACGUGUGCCGACUGCAGCCUGGCUACUCAAGUGGAACCUGGGACUGUUCUGAUCAGACCUGAUUGGUCCAGCCCUGCCAGUCAGAUACUCAGCCCUGAGCCAUCUCUGUGACCAGGAGGAAUGCAGUGCUCUGAUUGGCUGGCUCAGGUCCUGCCUGCCCCUGACAUCAGAGGCAGGGUGGGUGAGGAGGGCUUGUGGUCUUCCCACUUUGGGACACAAAGGAGCAGAGGCCAGAAGCCAUGUUUGCUCAUUCCACCUGUGGAGUUUCACGGGAAGCUUUUGCAGUGCACUGGAGAUCCACCAGACAUCAAAAAGGAACCGUCCCUUGGCUCAGUGACCCGGUUUCCAGAAAUUUAGUUUAAGGCAUCCUUGCAACUGUGUGAAAAGAAGUGUGAGCCCUGCCUCAGUGACUGGGCGUGCCCCCUGGAAGAAUGUCCUGGAGACUGAGCAGGCAUGGCGCAGGUGCCCACGGCUCUUGCUUGAAUCCCUGCAUUUUUUUUUUUUU